AGACUUGGAGACAUCUGAUUCAUCAAAUCAAGAAGGGGAGGGGGGUGACCAAAAAAUUGGUAAGCAUAGUGGACAUAGGAAAAAGAACACUUGGCUGAACUUCAGGAAAAGGAUGCACUGAAUCUUACUAGUUGUUGGUGAAGUGUCAUUUUCUCACAAUAUAAGACAUCCGGACUCUAUCCUUGGUGGUCGAGCAGCCUUAACUACGGCUGAAUAAUUAUGUUGAAGCUUGCUGUUGUGGUCAUGCAACUAUUUCCAGGUAUGAUCUAAUGACUCGUCGGAAAGAAACCUGUCACAAAGAGCCUUUUAGCUUAACCCUCGUUACAUGUGGAAAUUUGGGUAAUACUUUGAAAUUUUGGAUGUGUCCUGGUUGCAAUUUCCUGAAACCAUACAGGUGUAGACUACAAUGCUUUCUGGUAGAAAACCAUUAAUAAAAGAAUAGACAAAUUGUUAUUCUAUUCUGUUCUACAAAAACAGGGGUAAUAGAAUGAAUUGGCUUAUUCACAUUUCACAUUCAUUUUAGCUAAUCAUUCUGCCAUUUAGUGCUCCAUAUCAGUGUGCAAGCUUAGUAGUGGUUUAUUUUCAGUCAUUUAUUUGAAAUGUCAUAGGUCAAGUUGUUUACAUGCUGCCGGAGUCCUCUGCUAGUUAGUGCCGACUGUGAUGAUGUUAACUUGAUAUUGCAUAUGUUUCUUUGCUCAGAACCAUUGGUUAGGACACUACUCAGAACCAUAGGAACAGUAUGCCAGAGUGUGACAGAUUAGGCUUUUGAUGCUUUCCCCACUUCUGCCUUCGAUAUCUUCAAAUACAAAAGUUUGCAGGCUUUGAUCCAUUUGAAAGGUCAACUUAUUUUGGACGACAGUUUGAUCUUGGACAGGUAAGCUAGAUAUUUUCCCCUUCUAACCAUUGAUGGUCAACAGUUAUCAUCCUUACUACUCCCUGGAGUAUUAAGCAGACUAUGGGUCGAAGAGGUUUUCCCCUUGUCAUCCUUUUAUUUGUUCAAAUUGGCCGCUUAAAUAAAUUCACGAGUACUAGUCUCUUCUGUCCAAAUUUUAACAAAGGUUAUGCCCUCGAUCUCAUUGUGCCGACAGAACCAGUUUAAGCAGAGAGUCUGAGUCCGAGGAGCUCGCCCAGAGGAAGAAGAGAUAUUCCAGUUUACAAUGGUUCAGAGAGUUGUCGGCUCGUGGGAUGGCUACUGGGCAAUGCUAAUAUGCUCCACAGUCCCAGUAGCAAAUGGAACAUGGACGCCUACUGGAUGAACAAGUAACAUGCCAGUGAUGCAUUGCAGGUUUUGCAGCAUUGGUGUAUCAAACUAUUGUUCAUACUAGUACUCCUGUUCAAUCAAGAUGUUUCCAAAAUUACAGGAAAUCCAAUAUUUAUUCUGUAUACUACUCCAGCAGAAAUCCAGCAGAAUAAUUAUAAUUACUCUGUGUUCAUCCAGCAGAAGAGGGACACACGGAGUAAUUAUUUUAUCUCUGUGUUCAUCCAGCAGAAAUCCAAGCAAUUCUGAUCAAAAUCAUUGUGCGUAUGCAGGAGCAGAAAGGAGCAGCGAGCAGCAGCGGCGGCUGACCUUGAGCUCUCGGUUGGAGUGGAGGGAGGCGGCCGGCGAGGGAUAUGCGGCCAGCGGGGAAGGAUUCGGAGUUGCGGCGGAGCAGGAAACCGGCGGGGAAAGGCGGACGCCGGUGAGGGAGCUUUCGAUCGCGGCGAGGAAGGGCGACCAGAGGGGAUCAGGCUCUCGAUUGGAGCGGCGCAGGCAACCGGCGGGGAAGGUGCCGGAGAUGUGGACGACGGAGGAGCCUGGCGAAGGGGAGGAGCGACGGAGGAAGACGAUGGAGUCCUCGCGGAGGCAAGGAGCGACGGAGGAAGACGACGGCCCGUGCGAUUUCAAAUCGAUGGGUGGGGGAGGGGUAGUUUGGUAAUUUCACUCGUUUUCACCUGGUCGGAAAACCCCCUCCAACGACAAUUAUUUCGGAACGGAGGGAGUAAUUGAUGUGACGCUCUCACUUUAGCCCAUUAACACGAACACAUAGUGAAUA